rnacentral:rRNA from 1 species
GAUCGGAUCAAGCGCGAGAAGGGCGUUUGGUGGAUGCCUAGGCAGUCAGAGGCGAUGAAGGACGUGAUAACCUGCGAUAAGCGGGGGGGAACCGGUAAUAGGUUUUGAUCCCCCGAUUUCCGAAUGGGGCAACCCACCUGACAGUUUGUUAUAAUUUGCCAUCGGCAAUUUAUAAUGGGCUGAACCAGGUACUUAGGACCUGAAUACAUAGGGUUUUAAGAGCAAACCCGGGGAACUGAAACAUCUCAUUACCCGGAGGAAAGGACAUCAACAGAGACUCCGUUAGUAGCGGCGAGCGAACGCGGACCAGCCGAGCAUUGAUCGUGAGCAGAACCAGUUGGAAAGCUGGGCAAUAUGGGUGACAGCCCCGUAUGCGAAGCGAGAUAUGACGUAUCAAGUAGGGCGGGACACGUGAAAUCCUGUUCGAAGAUGGGGGGACCACCCUCCAAGGCUAAGUACUCCUGACUGACCGAUAGCGAACCAGUACCGUGAGGGAAAGGUGAAAAGCACCCCGACAAGGGGAGUGAAACAGAUCCUGAAACCGGACGCCUACAAACAGUCGGAGCCUCCUUGCGAGGUGACGGCGUACCUUUUGUAUAAUGGGUCAACGACUUGGUCUCACUAGCAAGCUUAAGCCGAUAGGUGUAGGCGCAGCGAAAGCGAGUCUUAAUAGGGCGAAUGAGUUAGUGGGAUCAGACCCGAAACCGAGUGAUCUAGGCAUGGCCAGGCUGAAGAUGCAGUAACAUGCAUUGGAGGGCCGAACCCACAUCCGUUGAAAAGGAUCGGGAUGAGCUGUGCCUAGGGGUGAAAGGCCAAUCAAACUCGGAGAUAGCUGGUUCUCCGCGAAAUCUAUUUAGGUAGAGCGUCAGACGAAUACUCUCGGGGGUAGAGCACUGGAUGGGUAAUGGGGACCCACAGUCUUACUGAUCCUAACCAAACUCCGAAUACCGAGAAGUACUAUCUGGCAGACACACGGCGGAUGCUAACGUCCGUCGUGGAGAGGGAAACAACCCUGACCUCCAGCUAAGGCCCCUAAUUCAUGGCUAAGUGGGAAAGCAGGUGAGACGACCAAAACAACCAGGAGGUUGGCUUAGAAGCAGCCAUCCUUUAAAGAUAGCGUAACAGCUCACUGGUCUAGAUAAGUUGUCUUGCGGCGAAGAUGUACCGGGGCUCAAGCCAUGAGCCGAAGCUGAGGAUGCACGUUGUAAAACGUGCGUGGUAGCGGAGCGUUCUGUUCAUAAACCCUGACCUCUUUAUUGUCCUUCGGGGCGAUGCGGAGGUUGAGGGUUUUGCUGUGAAGCAUCUCUGUAAGGGGGUGUGGAGCGUUCAGAAGUGAGAAUGUUGACAUGAGUAGCGAUAAAGGGAGUGAGAGACUCCCUCGCCGAAAGUCCAAGGGUUCCUGCUUAAAGCUAAUCUGAGCAGGGUAAGCCGACCCCUAAGGCGAGGCCGAAAGGCGUAGUCGAUGGGAACCAGGUUAAUAUUCCUGGGCCAGGAGGAUUGUGACGGAUCCCGGAUGUAGUUCACUCUUAUCGGAUUGAGUGGGCUGCUGAGGGGUCCCUGGAAAUAGCCCUCCAUUGGAUCGUACCCGAAACCGACACAGGUGGACUGGUAGAGCAUACCAAGGCGCUUGAGAGAACUGCAUUGAAGGAACUCGGCAAAAUACCUCCGUAAGUUCGCGAGAAGGAGGCCCAGUUCUUACGCAAGUAUAGACUGGGGGCACAAACCAGGGGGUGGCGACUGUUUACUAAAAACACAGGGCUCUGCGAAGUCGCAAGACGACGUAUAGGGUCUGACGCCUGCCCGGUGCCGGAAGGUUAAAAGGAGAUGUGAGAGCGUCGAAUUGAAGCCCCGGUAAACGGCGGCCGUAACUAUAACGGUCCUAAGGUAGCGAAAUUCCUUGUCGGGUAAGUUCCGACCUGCACGAAUGGCGUAACGACUUCCCCGCUGUCUCCAAUGCAGACUCAGCGAAAUUGAAUUCCCCGUGAAGAUGCGGGGUUCCCGCGGUCAGACGGAAAGACCCCGUGCACCUUUACUACAGCUUCAGACUGGCAUUAGCCUCUCGAUGUGCAGGAUAGGUGGUAGGCUUUGAAGCGGGAACGCCAGUUUCCGUGGAGCCAUCCUUGAGAUACCACCCUUCGCGUCGUUGAUGUCUAACCGCGGACCGUUAUCCGGUUCCGGGACCCUCUGUGGCGGGUAGUUUGACUGGGGCGGUCGCCUCCUAAAGAGUAACGGAGGCGCGCGAUGGUGGGCUCAGGUUGGUCGGAAAUCAACCGUCGAGUGCAAUGGCAUAAGCCCGCCUGACUGCGAGACUGACAAGUCGAGCAGAGACGAAAGUCGGCCAUAGUGAUCCGGUGGUCCCGAGUGGAAGGGCCAUCGCUCAACGGAUAAAAGGUACGCCGGGGAUAACAGGCUGAUACUGCCCAAGAGUCCAUAUCGACGGCAGUGUUUGGCACCUCGAUGUCGGCUCAUCUCAUCCUGGGGCUGGAGCAGGUCCCAAGGGUACGGCUGUUCGCCGUUUAAAGAGGUACGUGAGCUGGGUUUAGAACGUCGUGAGACAGUUCGGUCCCUAUCUGCCGUGGGUGUAGGAGACUUGAGAGGAGUUGCCCCUAGUACGAGAGGACCGGGGUGAACGCACCACUGGUGGACCAGUUGUCGUGCCAACGGCAGUGCUGGGUAGCUAUGUGCGGACAGGAUAACCGCUGAAAGCAUCUAAGCGGGAAGCCCCCCUCAAAACCAGGUCUCCCUGAGGGCCGUGGUAGACCACCACGUCGAUAGGCUGGAGAUGUAAGCGCAGCAAUGCGUUCAGUUGACCAGUACUAAUUGCCCGAUAGGCUUGAUACCGAUCCAG